AUGGCCAUUCCAUUUCAUCCCUAUUCCAAGUGCUACAACAAUACAUUUGUAUGGUUGAAAUUUGACUGUCGAAUCAGUUAUACCGUACGGGCCCUAUUAUGUGUAAAAAUUACAUAUUCAUUAAGAGGGUUGGGUAUUGAAUUACCUAUUCAAUGCUUCUCAUAAUAACUCUUUUUUUUUAAGACGAAAAUCUUCUCCCACCUUCGCUCAUCGUUCCUGUAACAAUAGCAAGAGAUCUUCUUGAAUUUUGGAUAAAAUGUAUCAGAAGACUCUAUAUUUGGAUUUUGCGUGUAGCGGAUCUCUGUGUGGUGGAAAAUAUGGAGACAUCGAUGUUGAAGGCGUAGCUUUCCAAAGAAAUGUGCACGUCUCCCGCCGUGCAUCCCAGCAAUUGUGGGAUCAACGAUGACAUGGACGCCAGGAAGGGCAAGACUUCUUCAGCUGCUGUGAUAAAACGAUUAUUAGCAAUAAAAGACGACAAUGAAGAACUGUGAAAGACUCACCAAUUUAGCUUUAGUGACAAAGUGGAUGUUGAAUAAAGGCCAAGGAGCUAUGAUGGGAAUUUAUGACACCCUUCUACUUGCAUUUGAUAUGGAUAAUAGAGUGGAUGAGGCUAGAUC